rnacentral:lncRNA from 1 species
CACGGCAGGUGAUCAACGUGCUCAACUGCGAGGGGGCAGAGAUGGACAUCAUCCUGGCAGAGGUCGACCUGCCUGUCUCCAAGUGCUUCAAGAUGCUCAAGUACAUUGCCAGGAACAAGGAACUGCGCCACAUCCCCAUCAUCAGUAAGAUGUCUCCAUGUUCCCUAGUUUUCUCCAGUUCCCGUGACAUGCUUGUAGUGAUCAUAGUCCUACUGAUGCAAUUAUGCAGUGAUGUCCAACAGAGACGAAGUUUCUGUUGUGGUCAAGUGCUUGCGGCUCGGGGCAGCCGAGUAUCUGGUCAAGCCGCUGCGCAUGAAUGAGCUGUUGAAUCUCUGGACCCAUGUGUGGCGACGAAGACGGAUGGUAAAUGGCACCUGUUAAUAUAUCUCCAUCUGUAUUAAAAGCUUGCUCUAAGCUGGUAUCGAUUGUUGUUAAACUGGAUAUUGGUGUUGGCAGCUUGGCUUGGCCGAGAAAAACUUCUUCAUUGACAAUCUUGAGUUGGUGCUGUCGGAUCCUAGUGACGCCAAUACCAAUAGCACCACACUCCUUUCAGAUGAGACAGAUGAUAGGCCAAAAGAAAACACAAAUCAUGAAACAAAUACCUCAAAUCAACAUGAAUAUGAGGUAAUCAACUAAUUAAUCUUUAGUAAGUUGUAUGUUAUCUGUAUCUUAGCAUCUUUCAAAUUUUGUAUUUGCUGCUAAAGUGCCCCCUUUUACUUCAUAUGCUUCAUAAUGAUGAGGUGCUGACCUCCAUGCAUUAAGCUAUUUGUUAAAAACCC